ACUAGUGUUCAGCUGGAUUAGGACGAACCUGGGCACUUAGCCGGGCAGGAAUAAUGGCAAGCCUUUAGCCUAUUCGGGAGCGGCAAUGGGCGCCUCGCUGGAUCAGGAGCGCAGCAGACACCCUGCCGGAUCCGGAGGGGUGGAAGUCAGCAGUGGGUCUGCGACGGAGGCAAUCAGCAGCAGUGGAUGGGACUCUAGUCCUGACUUAAUGUAUCAAACGAAGCUCCAGGAUUUAAUCAAGAAAGGAGGCCAUCAGGAAAAAGAAAAUCAACUCUGAAGCUUAGCUGAAAAUAAUUUGCAUUUUGGGAGCUGUGCGUUAGGGAUGUUUGGUCCAAGCUCUUUCAUGGGGAGAUAAAAUGAAAAUGAUGUGCUUUAUUACUUUGAAAGUCAUACCCUUCUAAUAACAGGGAGAAUAGGAAGCUUUUCUGAUUUAUUCUGCUGAACCAUCACUAUCUGGAGUCAUUUGCACUCAUGGACCAUUGGGAGAACAUUAAUUGACCAAAAAGAGGCUGCUGUUAUUGUCGAGGCAGCAUUGUGUAUCCUUCUGAAAUGGCUGAUCCUGACCUGGGCUCUUGACUUUGCCCCCUCAGACUCUAGCUUUUAUGGGACUGGAUGGAUCUACUGCCAGAGGUCAAGUAGUGCCAGACUGAAAAGCUUUAUCAAUUCCAGAACCUCACCGAGUACCUCCUACUAGGAAAUUUGAAUGUGAACACCUUGGUAACAUCUCAACCACGCACUUGGGAGCUUUUGCCUAUAAUUCAAAGCAAACCGAAAAAGAAAUUAUUCCCACCAUGUUGCAAAAAUUGAAAUGGAAAAAGAACUGUUGAUUCUAAUUCCUCAACCCAGGACUUCAGAUGCCAAUAAUGAUUGCAAAGAAUAAACA
rnacentral:lncRNA from 10 species